UGGACGCAAAAACAAAAAGGAAAUAUCCUUUCGAGCACGUGACAGUCACGUGAUGACAGGUCAAUUUCCCUUUUGUCUCCUCAUUCGCUUCGCCGACGUAUUUGUCUCCUUCCGUCUAGUCUAGCUCUCCGAUCAUGUGGGUGACGAAUACCGUACUUCUACAUCAACCCAAUGCUCUGACCCGAUUAAACUUUUUCUCUUCGCUAAUGUUUCCAUCUAGCUUAUUGUUGGACAAAUCAAGACUCCCCAAAUCCUUCAGCUUCGAAAUGCUAUCUGGUAUGGAGCCAGUGAGGUAGUUGCUUGACAAAUUCAACGAUACGAUAUUUUGAAGGUUUCCAAUCUCAACUGGAAUCUCACCAGAUAAUUGGUUGCUUGACAAAUCCAACCCAUACAUGUAACGCAGAAUAUCACCUUGAUAUGCUUCAUAUCUUCUUUUCGUUAGAAAAUCCACUAUGAUUGCUGGUGUCCGUUGAGCACCAUACGCGAAAUCAUCAUCGAGGUUGAUAGCUGAUGUAUAACUCCAACUUUGCGAGAAUGAAACUUGUGAGAAGCCUUCCACUGGAUCAAAUGACAUGUUGCUGUCAUACUUUUUUGCACCAAAAGACAUUUUACUGAAACAUGAUGGUAUAACACCUUUGAAUUUAUUCUGA